rnacentral:rRNA from 1 species
CGGGAGGCAGCAGUGGGGAAUUUUGGACAAUGGGCGCAAGCCUGAUCCAGCAAUGCCGCGUGAGUGAAGAAGGCCUUCGGGUUGUAAAGCUCUUUUGUCAGGGAAGAAACGGUGAGGGCUAAUAUCCUUUGCUAAUGACGGUACCUGAAGAAUAAGCACCGGCUAACUACGUGCCAGCAGCCGCGGUAAUACGUAGGGUGCAAGCGUUAAUCGGAAUUACUGGGCGUAAAGCGUGCGCAGGCGGUUAUGUAAGUCAGAUGUGAAAUCCCCGGGCUCAACCUGGGAAUGGCAUUUGAGACUGCAUGGCUAGAGUGUGUCAGAGGGGGGUAGAAUUCCACGUGUAGCAGUGAAAUGCGUAGAGAUGUGGAGGAAUACCGAUGGCGAAGGCAGCCCCCUGGGAUAACACUGACGCUCAUGCACGAAAGCGUGGGGAGCAAACAGGAUUAGAUACCCGAGU